GGAAACUUUUCGUCCCACAUAGUUGUUAUCUGCAACAAUUUGUUCCUAGAAAGUGGUUCAGAUCUUGACAAGGGGCGCAUUGAUCUUCAUCCUUUCUGGAGCAGAGGGUGAUUUAAGUGGUCCUGGAGGAAUCUGUGCAGGGAUGAAUAGGAGCAAUGUGAGAUGAGCAGAACCUUCUGAGGGUCUCCUGAAUGCAAGCUGCCAUUAACGGGUCACAGGUGUAACAGCAAGGAGUGCACUUGUGAGUUUCCAUGUUCAGUUCCUGAAGGAGUAUUAAUGGAGGACUGCAGAUCAUUUUCUAGCAAGGCUUGUCCAUAGGCUUUUUGGGCAGCUCACUCUGAGGUGUAUCUGCUUUAUGAGGCUGUUGGGAGGCAGAUCUUGCCAAGUAGCCCGAGCUGCCAAGUUCCUGGCCUGUCUGGUAAUCUUGCUUUGAGCAGACCUUGAGUAGACCUAGGCAGAAUGAAGGCAGCUCAGAGAGAAGUGUGUGUUUCUUUCAGAACACACCAAAGAUUUCUGUAUGAAUCAUUCAUUUCCCAGCUGAAAACUGGGGUGAGGGCCUGCUUGCCUUCAGUCCCUCAGCUUAAAGAGGCUGUAGUUCUAACUUUAGCACAGCAUACCCAACCUUUACUCAUAUUUCUACCAUGAACCCAAACACUUUGACCCUGUGACUUAGAUGGUUAAGGGAUCAGAAGACCUCUUGAAGAAGAUAACCUCUGCACCGUAAAGGUUAUUUUUGGUUUCAGAUGUGAAUCCUAAGGCCUUGACAUGUCAAGAAAGGUUAGGGGCAGGUCUAGUCCCUGGGGGAGAGCAAACAAGCAGGAGUUUGCUCUUAUUGACCUUAAAUGGAACAGCUGAACAGUAGUGUGGUUUGGGGACUCACAAAGUGAUGAGUUGGUGACAAGAUCAGUAGUUAAGAAAGUGAAGACAAGCAAAAAGAGGUGUGAUAUUACAGACCAAGACCUCCAGCAUCCUGGUUUUGCCCUACUUCUUGUUGCACAUCUGCUUGCUGGGGAUGGAACCCAACUGCUAUUCUUGAGGAAUAUCCAGUAAGUGGGGCUAAAACUCCCUGAGUUCUGGAGGAUUUUCUAAUUGUAAUCCAGUGUGGCUUGAAGCUAUGCACAUCAACUAGUAAUCUUGCAGAGUUUCUGAAUGCUUUGGAAAUAUCUCAGCUGAAGAUGCAGGGCAGAGGCUCAGCCCAGCUGCCUUCACUGACUGUUGCUGCCACAAAGCUUCCCGUGCAUCCAUGACCACAAUCCAUGACUUGUGCCUUCUUUCUCACUCUGCCAUUAGGCAGGCGCUUCUUUCACUUACAGCAGCCUGCUACUGGGACAGCACCUUCCCCGGGCUGUUCCUACAAAGCACAGCACAGAAGCCCUUACACACGUGUACCUCCAAACAUUGCUGUCCUGGCCAGGGGUGCUGGUUAUUCUGCUCCCUUCUCUGUCAGGACCAAAGUCACCUUUUAAAUCACCACUGAAAAUCUGUUAGCAUGCAGCCUGCAUGCUCUAUUUACUCGUCCUGCUCUUAAUGCCAUUUAUCAUCAGCUCCAACCAGAAGUGAAAUACAAAUACAUAGGAAAAGACCCUGUUUCAAAUCAAGACCAUUUUAUCCUCCUGAUCUGCUUAGGCUUACGUGCAGUACAAAUUUUCUUCAGCCAGGAACUGUUUUCCAGGAGCAAAAAAGGGGAGGAGGAGAUCCUAGAAGAUGUGCCUGUGUGCUGGAAGGAAUCUGCUUAAAAUGAGUCAUUAGGAGGACUUCACAGACCCAUUCUUGCUCUUUCAAAUCCAAGUCACUCUGGGUAGUUUAGGGGAGUUCCUCAUCACACCUUGGAUUGUGCUAAAUGCUGUUCACUGCUAGAAUAAACAAGACAAGCCUUGGUUAUGGCUCACUGCAUACAGAAACAGAUGACACCCAGGCUUGCCAGCUGAUGUAAAUCACCUUACUACAGUAUGAAGUUUUAUAAAGGCAGGUCCUGACCAACUCAGGAGCAAAACUGAUACCUAGCAGCUCCUUCUGCUUCCUUAUUUUAAUUAGUAUUAUUUUUUCCCUCCUGUUUCAUUCCUCUGGGGGGAUGUGAGGACAUCUGUACAACUCCUGAAGGUAAAAUCCCCUCUUCCAUGCAGACCCUUCUGAGGAAAAAUCUGCUAUGAAUUCCUGGUUAGUAGUGAGAAUACAUCAUCUGUGCCUAACCCCACAGCUCCUGGUCCCAUUGGCCGUGUGCCCUACAGAGUUCCUCUGAAUCACUGGUUCAGCACAGAAGACAUCAAUUUAGAAUCAUAGAAUGGCCUGAGUUGGAAAGGAACACAACAAUCAUCUCCUUCCAACCCCCUGCUAUGUGCAGGGUCGCCAACCAGCAGCCCAGGCUGCCCAGAGCCACAUCCAGCCUGGCCUUGAAUGCCUGCAGGGAUGGGGCAUCCACAGCCUCCUUGGGCAACCUGUUCAGUGCGUCACCACCCUCUGGGUGAA
ensembl:lncRNA